CCUUGAAAUACCACCCUGGUUCAUUUGAGGUUCUAACCUUGGCCCGUUAUCCGGGUCGGGGACAGUGCAUGGUAGGCAGUUUGACUGGGGCGGUCUCCUCCUAAAGUGUAACGGAGGAGUUCGAAGGUACGCUAGUUACGGUCGGACAUCGUGACGAUAGUGCAAUGGCAUAAGCGUGCUUAACUGCGAGACUGACAAGUCGAGCAGGUACGAAAGUAGGACAUAGUGAUCCGGUGGUUCUGUAUGGAAGGGCCAUCGCUCAACGGAUAAAAGGUACUCUGGGGAUAACAGGCUGAUUCCUCCCAAGAGUUCAUAUCGACGGGGGAGUUUGGCACCUCGAUGUCGGCUCAUCACAUCCUGGGGCUGUAGCCGGUCCCAAGGGUAUGGCUGUUCGCCAUUUAAAGUGGUACGUGAGCUGGGUUUAAAACGUCGUGAGACAGUUUGGUCCCUAUCUGCCGUGGGCGUUGGAAAUUUGAAGGGGGCUGCUCCUAGUACGAGAGGACCGGAGUGGACAGACCUCUGGUGUACCGGUUGUCACGCCAGUGGCAUUGCCGGGUAGCUAAGUCUGGAAGAGAUAACCGCUGAAAGCAUCUAAGCGGGAAACUUGCCUUAAGAUGAGAUUUCCCAGAGCCUUGAGCUCUUUGAAGGGUCGUUCGAGACCAGGACGUUGAUAGGUCAGGUGUGGAAGUGCAGUAAUGCAUUAAGCUAACUGAUACUAAUUGCCCGUACGGCUUGUCCCUAUAACCUUAGCAGGUUAU
rnacentral:rRNA from 2 species